rnacentral:rRNA from 1 species
CGGAACGGGUGAGUAAUGCGUGACCAACCUGCCCCAUGCUCCAGAAUAGCUCUUGGAAACGGGUGGUAAUGCUGGAUGCUCCAACUUGACGCAUGUCUUGUUGGGAAAGUGUUUAGUGGCAUGGGAUGGGGUCGCGUCCUAUCAGCUUGUAGGCGGGGUAAUGGCCCACCUAGGCUUCGACGGGUAGCCGGCCUGAGAGGGCGGACGGCCACAUUGGGACUGAGAUACGGCCCAGACUCCCACGGGAGGCAGCAGG